GGUAGAAGGAGGUGUGUGCGGAAAAUUUUAUCUCAGUAAUUGCAGUCUGUAUAUAGAUGACGAAUGGCAAGCUGUGGUUGACCUAACAAGCCACAUGGUUAAAUUAACGCACUUCUUACUCAGAUCUGGAACAGGUAUAAUCCAUGUAGUUUGUUUGGAAGCUGUUUGGAGGGUUAAAGGCACUGGUAGGAGGAGUGGUAUUUAUUAUUAUCUUAUACUUUUACUACGCUGCUUGAUUCCAUUAAGAAUUCGGUCCAUACGUAGUGUUAUUGAGAGCACUAUAGAAAGGAAGACAGCAGCUCAUGUAAU